AGUCCGUCCGGUAGCAGAAUCCAUUUCGUAAGUAGCAUUUAAAACACAUGACUUCUACAAGUCUUAAUUAGCAAAUGCGUUUUAAGUCGCAUAAAACCAUUUGUCCCAUGGUAAAUGCUAUUGGUUUUACACUUCUACUCACACUUGUAAUAUAGUAGGGGAAAAUGCAGUGUUCUAGUUACUUGAUCCAUUUCUCCGGCGAAUUCCUUACUCCUGGGUGUGAUUAUCUUUCUGCAGCAGUGAAAUCAAAUUGUCAUGAUACGUCAAAGCUUCACAUGGGUUCCGUGUCUCUUGAGUUCGCUAGUUGGUUCAACUAUUUCCACAAGCACUAAAUAUAAUGUGACUAGUACGAGUUAUGGAGCUUUUGAACGUUUCCCUGAUUGUAUCAUCAUCAGUGUCCUAAGUCGGAUUCCCAUAGAUUGCAUUAUGAAAAGUCGAAGGGUCUGUCGGCUGUGGCAGGCUUUGAUCUUAUCACGUUAGUUUGCCACCUUACAUCAUGAUAGGGAGAGGCUUUUCGUACAAUAUGACGAACUUGACUUUUUCGUGCUAGAGGAAAAUGAUAGUAAAGAGAAGGUGCUCGAGAAAGUAAGCCUCAAACCUGAACUUACAAUGACGAAGUACCAUCCUUGUCUUUUACAUUCUUGUCAAGGAUUACUUCUUUUCGGUGACCAUGUUUUCCCUUCUACAUAUUUUGUUUUUAACCCCUUAACACAAGAUGAAAUAACCAUAAGACACACUCGGUGCUGGCAGCAUCUGUGGUUUUUAUUUGUGUCCAUUGACUAGGGAACUUAAGAUUCUUUAUGCAGAAGUACGAGUUAUUAGCUGUCAAUAUUUAAUCUACACUAUCAGGAGUCAAACUUGGAGGAGAAUUAGUUCACCUUCUUUGAAUUCCAUCCAGACUUAUCUCUCUCCUGCAAUUGUUAAUGGUGCAAUUCAUUGGAUUAUGGAUCGAGAAUUUGGAGAGAUCCCUCCUCACUCAAUUGCAGUUUUGAUGUUUAGAUUGGAUACAGAAGAAUUCUCCCUCAUGCCUCAUCCUGGAACACAAUGUAGUUCAAGACAAUCACGUGAAUGCGGAACACAUGAAACCAUGUCUCUCCUAGUGAAGGAAGAGUAUUUGUCUUUCUGCCAAUUGCAUAUUCAUUAGAGUGCAAUGGACAUAUGGAUCUCGGAGGACUAUGAGAUGUGGGCAUUGAUCAGAAGCUACAGGGUUAAUCUUAACUUUGAUGUGGAUGCUUUUCCUUGUCAUUCACCUUCUUAUUAUUGCGGACCUGAGCUGAGGAGUUUGGGCAUGGUACAGUUUUUAAAGCCUUCAAGCAUUCAAGAUGGUGAACUACUAGUGUGCUGUUCUCUGAGAGGGUUCUUUCUGUAUAAUUUGGAUCUUAAUAUGGAGAAUUGAAAGGCCACAAGGAAAAAGCUCUACAUUAACCCCAUUCAAUUGUAUUCCUUAUACCAAGAGCCUCCGUCACAUAGUCUAGCUCUCUUCCUUUUCAUUUAGCAGUAGUCUCAGACUGUCAUGCUUAUUUCUUACUUGUGUUGGUAGUGUUGUGUAUACUGUGCAGUUGACCUGAAGUCAGCCAAAGGGGAAUCUCUCUCAUCCAUUAUCUUAUUUGUGAAAGCACUAAGUUGUUCUGACCAUAGUUCCGUUAGUAGUGAUUUUGUGCAAUUUGUUAAGAACUUUAUUCCCCAGUAAUUUAUCUGAGCAAUUCAGUUGUUUA